GGUGCUUGCACCUUUCAAGUGAGUGGCGAACGGGUGAGUAACACGUGGACAACCUGCCUCAAGGCUGGGGAUAACAUUUGGAAACAGAUGCUAAUACCGAAUAAAACUUAGUGUCGCAUGACACAAAGUUAAAAGGCGCUUCGGCGUCACCUAGAGAUGGAUCCGCGGUGCAUUAGUUAGUUGGUGGGGUAAAGGCCUACCAAGACAAUGAUGCAUAGCCGAGUUGAGAGACUGAUCGGCCACAUUGGGACUGAGACACGGCCCAAACUCCUACGGGAGGCUGCAGUAGGGAAUCUUCCACAAUGGGCGAAAGCCUGAUGGAGCAACGCCGCGUGUGUGAUGAAGGCUUUCGGGUCGUAAAGCACUGUUGUAUGGGAAGAACAGCUAGAAUAGGAAAUGAUUUUAGUUUGACGGUACCAUACCAGAAAGGGACGGCUAAAUACGUGCCAGCAGCCGCGGUAAUACGUAUGUCCCGAGCGUUAUCCGGAUUUAUUGGGCGUAAAGCGAGCGCAGACGGUUUAUUAAGUCUGAUGUGAAAGCCCGGAGCUCAACUCCGGAAUGGCAUUGGAAACUGGUUAACUUGAGUGCAGUAGAGGUAAGUGGAACUCCAUGUGUAGCGGUGGAAUGCGUAGAUAUAUGGAAGAACACCAGUGGCGAAGGCGGCUUACUGGACUGCAACUGACGUUGAGGCUCGAAAGUGUGGGUAGCAAACAGGAUUAGAUACCCUGGUAGUCCACACCGUAAACGAUGAACACUAGGUGUUAGGAGGUUUCCGCCUCUUAGUGCCGAAGCUAACGCAUUAAGUGUUCCGCCUGGGGAGUACGACCCGCAAGGUUGAAACUCAAAGGAAUUGACGGGGACCCGCACAAGCGGUGGAGCAUGUGGUUUAAUUCGAAGCAA
rnacentral:rRNA from 1 species